UUGUCUGGCACUGUGUUAGGGACAUAACUUCCACUGCCCUUUCUGAGUGGUUGGAUCAACCAGCGUGCUCAGACUAUCUUUGCACCCAGAGGUUACAGUAAGUCUGGAUGACACAUAGAACAGUUUGUGGUGCCUCUAGAGUUCCUUAUGGAAGACUUUUAUUUCAGAGAUCUGAGAAAGCCUUGGUCUGAGGGGAAGAAGGAAUCACAAAUGCUGCCCAGCUAUAGCCAUGUAACAAUCUGACAUCCCUGGACAUUCUUCUGCUGGGUUGCUGUGUGUGUUCCUGGACAUAAUUGUGGAAACAAAAUCAGUGAGAGACCACAGAGAAGACAGAGAAGGACCCUGUUGUUAUGGAGCUUACAGUCAGAGAGAGAAGGUAUACAAUGCUGAAGAAAUCAGAAGAACUAAUAAUAUAACUUAGCAGAGUGGAGGAAAGUUUUCUUCCUCCCAGACAGCUGGCUUAGUGGUAAGAUAAACUUCCCUGGCUGGACUCUGCUCCCCACAAGGCUGCUGUGGCUGAGAGAUACUGGGACAUCUGACAAGCGGUUUGAUGAAGCCAGCAAUCAUAUUAGUGAAGACUCAUCUGGCAAGAACUGAGGAUGGCCUCCUGCCAACAGCCAGAAAGAACUGAGACUCUCAUUCACCAAACCAUGAGGAGCUGAAUCUUGUCAACAAUCAUUUAAAUGAACUUGGAAGUAGUCCUUCCCCAGCUGAGCCUUCAGAUGGGACUGCAGCCCUGUCCAACACAUUGAUGGCAGUCUUGUGAGAAUAUUAAGAGCAGAAGACUGAGCUAAUCCAUGCCCAGAUUCUUGGCCUACAGAGACUGUGAGAUAAUAAAUGUGUGCUGACUUAAGUCUCUAAAUUUGUGGUAAAAUUUUACACAUCAAGAAAUCACUAAUUAGGUAUUAAAUAAAUAUUUGUUAAAUAAAUGAUUAAUACCUGAA